rnacentral:rRNA from 3 species
GUCGAACGAUGAUGCCCAGCUUGCUGGGUGGAUUAGUGGCGAACGGGUGAGUAACACGUGAGUAACCUGCCCCUGACUCUGGGAUAAGCGUUGGAAACGACGUCUAAUACUGGAUAUGAUCACUGGCCGCAUGGUCUGGUGGUGGAAAGAUUUUUUGGUUGGGGAUGGACUCGCGGCCUAUCAGCUUGUUGGUGAGGUAAUGGCUCACCAAGGCGACGACGGGUAGCCGGCCUGAGAGGGUGACCGGCCACACUGGGACUGAGACACGGCCCAGACUCCUACGGGAGGCAGCAGUGGGGAAUAUUGCACAAUGGGCGAAAGCCUGAUGCAGCAACGCCGCGUGAGGGAUGACGGCCUUCGGGUUGUAAACCUCUUUUAGUAGGGAAGAAGCGAAAGUGACGGUACCUGCAGAAAAAGCACCGGCUAACUACGUGCCAGCAGCCGCGGUAAUACGUAGGGUGCAAGCGUUGUCCGGAAUUAUUGGGCGUAAAGAGCUCGUAGGCGGUUUGUCGCGUCUGCUGUGAAAUCCCGAGGCUCAACCUCGGGCUUGCAGUGGGUACGGGCAGACUAGAGUGCGGUAGGGGAGAUUGGAAUUCCUGGUGUAGCGGUGGAAUGCGCAGAUAUCAGGAGGAACACCGAUGGCGAAGGCAGAUCUCUGGGCCGUAACUGACGCUGAGGAGCGAAAGCAUGGGGAGCGAACAGGAUUAGAUACCCUGGUAGUCCAUGCCGUAAACGUUGGGCGCUAGAUGUAGGGACCUUUCCACGGUUUCUGUGUCGUAGCUAACGCAUUAAGCGCCCCGCCUGGGGAGUACGGCCGCAAGGCUAAAACUCAAAGGAAUUGACGGGGGCCCGCACAAGCGGCGGAGCAUGCGGAUUAAUUCGAUGCAACGCGAAGAACCUUACCAAGGCUUGACAUACACCGGAAACGGCCAGAGAUGGUCGCCCCCUUGUGGUCGGUGUACAGGUGGUGCAUGGUUGUCGUCAGCUCGUGUCGUGAGAUGUUGGGUUAAGUCCCGCAACGAGCGCAACCCUCGUUCUAUGUUGCCAGCGGGUUAUGCCGGGGACUCAUAGGAGACUGCCGGGGUCAACUCGGAGGAAGGUGGGGAUGACGUCAAAUCAUCAUGCCCCUUAUGUCUUGGGCUUCACGCAUGCUACAAUGGCCGGUACAAAGGGCUGCGAUACCGUAAGGUGGAGCGAAUCCCAAAAAGCCGGUCUCAGUUCGGAUUGAGGUCUGCAACUCGACCUCAUGAAGUCGGAGUCGCUAGUAAUCGCAGAUCAGCAACGCUGCGGUGAAUACGUUCCCGGGCCUUGUACACACCGCCCGUCAAGUCAUGAAAGUCGGUAACACCCGAAGCCGGUGGCCUAACCC